rnacentral:lncRNA from 1 species
UUUCUUUUUCGUAUGUUAUGUGUUUAAAAAUAUGAAAAUAUAUUAUUACAAAUCAAAAUUAUUAACUAUAUACAUAUUAUUUUUUAGUUCAAGUCAACUUAAAAUCUCCUAUAAUUUGAAUCUUAACAACAUAUAAAAAAUCUGUCAGCCACAUAGGUUGGAACAAAAAACCUACAUAUAUUACUGAAAGCUACAUAAAAAUAAUACUAUAAAUUACAAUAAUAAACAACUUUAAAUAUCUAAAAACCAAAUUAUAUUUAUAUGCUAUAACGUAUAGUUUGUAUAAUUGUGCUCCAUAACAAACUUUGUGUUUGCUAUGGCUAUUAAUAUGGUAUAUUUCGGUAUACAUAUACAAAAGAAUUAAUUGUAUAAUCUGUGUUUGUAUAAAGCGAGAAAGAGAGAAAGACAAAAGAAAACUAGGGCAAGGGAAGAUCUGUAUUUGUAUAAUUAUAAGUGUAUAGGACGAAAAUAUAUGUAUUUGUAUUUUUAUAUACAAUUUUCUCUCACUCUAUACAAACACAAACGCAAUUUAUAUAUUUGUGUUUGUAUAAAGUGAGAGUGGCGAGUAAGCGUGGCGAGCGAGAUCUGGGAGAGUGACGAGCGAGAUUCUCUGGGGAGAGAGACGAGCGAAAAGAUAUGUAUAUAUACAGUUUUGCCUCGCUUUAUACAAACACAAACGCAUUUUAUACAUUUGUGUUUGUAUAAAGUGAGAGAGGCGAGGGAGAGAUUGCUCAGCGAGAAAUCGAGAGUGGCGAGCGAGAAAUUCAGGGAGAGAGGCGAAUGACAAUUGUUUGCUAUGGGUUACAAUUAAAUCAAACUGUGGUUAUAACAUUUAAUUUGAAUUAAUAGUUUGCUAUUUUAUACAAUUUUUCCUAUAAAUAAUGCAAAAAAUAGGAAAAAAAUAUGAGUUACUUAUUUUAUAAAUCUAAAAAAGUUUUAAAAAUUUAACUAAAAACAGCCAAUUUUUAAACUGGAGUAACUUUGGAAAUAUUAGAAGAUGUCACUUGAAUGGAAAAAAUGUAAUCCGGGUACCAUCAAAAUUAGAAUCAAAAUGUAUUUUAAGGAUUGCAAAUCUCUUAAAACACUUUAAUGAAAAAAAUUCAACUCAUUUACCAUCAAAAUUGGAGUCAAAAUGUAUUUUAAAGAUUGUAAAUUUCUUAAAACACAUGAAUUGAAAAAAAUUUAACCCAUGUACCAUCAAAAUUGGAGUCAAAAUGUAUUUUAAAUCUCUUGAAACACUUGAAUGGAAAAAAAUUAACUCAUGUACCAUCAAAAUUGGAGUUAAAAUGUAUUUUAAGGAUUGUAAAUCUCUUGAAACACUUGAAUGGAAAAAAUGUAACUCAUGUACCGUUAAAAUUGGAGUCAAAAUAUAUUUUAAGGAUUAUAAAUCUCUUAAAACGCUUUAAUGGAAAAAAUGUAACUCGUGUACCGACAAAAGUGGAGUCAAAAUGUAUUUUAAGGAUUGUAAAUCUCUUGAAACACUUGAAUAGAGAUAAUAUAACCCAUGUACCGUCAAAAUUGGAGUCAAAAUGUAUUUUAAAGAUUGUAAAUUUCUUAAAACACAUGAAUUGAAAAAAAUUUAACCCAUGUACCAUCAAAAUUGGAGUCAAAAUGUAUUUUAAAGAUUGUAAAUUUCUUAAAACACAUGAAUUGAAAAAAAUUUAACCCAUGUACCAUCAAAAUUGGAGUCAAAAUGUAUUUUAAAUCUCUUGAAACACUUGAAUGGAAAAAAUGUAACUCAUGUACCGUUAAAAUUCUUGAAACACUUGAAUGGAAAAACUGUAACCCAUAUACCGUCAAAAUUGGAGUCAAAAUGUACUUUAAGGAUUGUGAAUAUCUUGAAAUACUUGAAUGAAAAAAAUUUAACUCAUGUACCGUCAAAACUAGAGUCAAAAUGUAUUUUAAGGAUUGUAAAUCUUUUGAACAUUUGAAAGGAAAAAAUGUAACUCAUGUACUGUCAAAAUUGGAGUCAAAAUGUAUUUUAAGGAUUCUAAAUUUCAAAGAAAAAUACAUAAUAAGCAAUUCAUUUAUAUACUUGACUUAAUCACAAAAUAAAAAAAAAUAUCAUCACCUAUAAAUUGCACAACUUUCUUCCCAAAGUUUCUCAAGCCUAUUAUGUCAAACCAUUUUCUUUCCCCAAAAACUGUUGUAAUGGCACAAACUAAGAUUAUACGUCGACGGAAGAUUGAACUGAAGAUGAUAACAUCAAAAGCAAAACUCAUGGUAGCUUUCAAAAAGCUAUGGGCAAGUGUUGUCAAGGAAGCACAUGAACUUUAUAUUACAACGGGAGAACAUAUUGCUAUUGUCGCUUAUUCCCCGUCUGGCAAAUCAUAUGCUUAUGAUUCCUCCAAUAGUUUUGAUACAAUAGAGAGGUUCCUCAAUGAUGCAAAGGCUUCUGCGGUCAAAGAGGGUCAUUGAUUUGAUUGUCUUUGGAGAAGGAUUAAUCUAUUUUCUUUUAUUUAGUUUUUAUCUUCAGUGAAGUCAGUUUAUUUCAAUAUGUGAGUCUUUAUUUGGGUCGUUGUUGCCCUUUGAUUUUUAUUUGCUUAAUCAUUUACUAUUGCGUCUUUAGUCCUCCAUGAUCUUACACUAUGAAGUAUAAGAUCUUAUGGUAGAUUUUCUAUUCUCCCUUAAUUUUAAUAAAAUAAAUACUUCUCUGUUAAAGAAUGUGAUGUCAACUCGUAAAUAUAUGUUUAUGCAUUAGUCGAUUAUAUCACUCCUCUAAGUAAUUGAGCUACAAAAUUGUAUGAAAACUCUACGAAGCAGCCGAUUCACUAUUGAUUAAAAGAAAUAAAAAAAAGCUUAUUUACAAAGAAUUUACAAUAUAAAAGCUUUCUUUUAAAUAGUAUGGCUAUAAAGUAACUAGUCUGUGUUAGGUUUUCUUUACACUUCUAAUAGUGUUCACGAGAAAUUGUAAAAUUGCCCAAUCUAAAUUCAAAUAAUAAUAAAAAUAACAUUCUCUUAGUUUGAUUUAGUUUUGAAUUUUGAAAAUCGAUAAUAUUUUAUUUAAUUGUGAUCAAAGUAAAAAGUAAUAUAAGAAUUGAACCAAACAAGCUGUAUAAAUACAUAAUGAAAAAUUAUAAUUACAUUUAUGUAUAUGUAUUUUUCAUAUCUAGUUACAAAAUAUUUUCAAUGGAUAUUAUCUUUUUGAAAUCUUGGGCAUUUUUCUAGUGUGUAUAAUUAUCUCGUUUCUUAGAGUGUAAUGGGCUUGUUCAGACAUCAUCUCUAGCCAUAUUAUGCAUAUGUCGAUGCAAAUCUCUGCUUUUAUAAAUAUAUAGGCCUGUGGCAGUACGAGUUCAAUAUGCAUGUGUGUUAUUUUUUUGUCCUAAUUUUUAUGAUAUAGAUAGUAUUUGGAGAGUCAAUCAUAAAUUGUAUAUGUUUUUUAAUAUUUUAAGUUGUUAAAUAUUGUAAUUUAUAGUACUUUUGUCAUGACCCAAAACGAGUCAUUAGUGACAUCCACACCUAACCUCCUAGGUGGACGAACCAAUGAAUUCAACCCCAACUUAUAUUAAUUGUUCAACUUACGAAAUCCAACAAUAAUGCGGAAGCUCAAAUCUUAUUAAGGUAAAAAAUACAAAUCCACUAAAGUCUAGUAAACAUCGUUUCUCACUGAAAGUCAUCAUGUCAAGACAACUAAUUCUCAAAUACCAAGUCUAAGAGUAUCAAAGAUACCAGAAAUAAAUUAAUAAAUAAAUAGUUUGUGUCCGAAAACUAAGGACAUCAUGCCACGACUGAGAGAAUCCAACAUGAGUUAGAAUGAAUAGCUCACCCUAGAACCUGAUGUGCUGGAGACUGGUUAGAACUGAGGGCGAGUUAAAGCUGGUGGUACACUCGUUGUACUCCACAAAAGGAACACGAAGAAAAAUACAAGUAGGGGUCAGUACAGAGAAACAUGUACUGAGUAGAUAUCAUUGGCCGACUCAAAACAGAAAUCAAUAUGCAUAAAGUAAUAGUAUAAAAUUAACUAUAGCACUUAGCAGGUGGCAAACAACAAACAACAUGAACAAGUGACAACAGUAACAAAGCCAGUAUGUAAUCAAUCAACACUAUGAAGAACACACAUGAUGACUCAGGCCUCCCUACCACGCUCUUUUGGGAAAUGAGAUUGAGAACAUUUAAGUUAUUUUGAUAUGUUUCUUUUAAUGUUACCGUGCCGGAACGUGACACCUGAUCCAAUAAUAACGUGCAGGCUCGGGACACCAGAUUCAAAUAUAUCGUGCCGGUUAGUAACACCCGAUCCAAAUAUAUCGUGUCAGCUCGUGGCAUCAGAUCCAAAUAUAUCGUUCCGGUUCGUGGUACCCGAUCCAAAUGUAAUGUGUCGGCUCGUGGCACCCGAUCCAACAACAUAGUUAAUUCAUCAUUAUUUAUCAUCACUUUCCACUUCAUUAACAAUAUUUCAUCAAACCUUCUUUAUUCAAUGCAUCACUUUAAUAGAGCAAGUUCAAGAUUAUGAAUUUCGCAGUCUUGGGAUUACAGAUCAAUCUCAACAACAUAUGAAUUAUUCAAACCACAACAACCAAGUACAUAGAAAAAUUCACAAUAUCACUUAAUGACUAUCAAUUACUAUUAAAAGUCUCUCUAUCACAUAGAAUAAAUCAUAACCUACCUUCACUGAAGAACCAAAGUCAAACAAGUUGAUUCCCAAUGUUUUUCCUUUCCUCAAUGCCUCAGAAAUGUUUCCAAUCUAUCAAGUAUGCAUAAUUCAUAAGUUAACGAGUCCAUAGACACCCAUAUUACCAUAUAUCUAGCCUAGAAUCAAUAACUCAUCCAAAUCUAUAGUCAAUUUUCUAAAGUUCAAGCCUACGGAUAAAUCUCAAUUCCUCCAAUUAUCAUAACUUUAAUGAUAUUUAAGUAACCUAUUAUUUAACUGUCUAAAAUAUAUAGUAAUCAUUAGCACCUUACGGCUAAUAACUGAAGAUAGCAAAUUUGUCUCCCAAAAGUCAACCAGUAAUCACCUUAGCCCACCUUCAUUUCAUAUCCAACCAUAAUAUUAUCCCCUCAAAGUUCAAUUAUGCUUUGACUUAGUUUCCAACUUUUCCAAUUCAAUUUUAUCUAAUUUCCUUUAACAAUCCACAUUAUACUAAUAAUAAAAUAACUAUGGCAUAAAUCAAUAAAUAUAUGGAUUAGACGAGUGACUACCUGAAGAACUCACGGCUUCUCUGCUUAGUUGUCGCAUGGGUAAGUUUUCUCGCUUAGUUUAUUUACCCUCAAUUAAUUAUGAACCAAAAUUGCUGAAUUUAUUAACUUUAUUUUUACGUAUACGCCAAAUGACAUAGGAUAUUAAAUAAAUUUAAGACUUGGUCCAUUUGCAGUCAAUUAAGAGUUAGCUAUUUAUAAAAGGGAAAAUUACACUGUUAAGCAAAUUUAUACUAGUUAAUUAGUCAUCAUAGCUAUAAUUUGCUAUAAUUAUCACUCACGACUAACAUUAACCAUUAAUUAUGUGGGUUGACUUCGAGUUUGUAUAAUUGGUCACAUUUGUAUAAUUCGCCACAUUUGUAUAAUUCGCAACUAACAAUUCUUCGUUUGAUGUGUAUUUGUAUACAAUGGUUUGUAUUUGUAUAUGACGAUAACUUCCUUUGGUUUUUCAGUUUUAUCACCAUAUACAUUCAAUCUUUUUUCGAAUAACUUUUUAAAGUUUGUAUACACGUGUAGUUUUCGGAUUUUGUAUAAUAUAAUUUAUAUAACGUAAUUUGUAUGAUAUAAUUUGUAUAACUGCUUAAAGUUCAUAUGGUUAUAUUUGUAUCAAUUUGUUAUUUCGAGUUUUAUCAUAUUUGUUAUUGUACUACUCAAUUAUACAAAAAAAUCUGUGAAUUAUACAAAUGUACUCGCGAGUUAUACAAACGAGAUGCGAAUUAUACAAAUUAUUUCCCUCUCUCAUUCACCUCUCUUCUUCCUCUCCCAUUCUCACUCGCCUCUCUCCUCCCUCUCCCAAUCUCGCUCGCAUCUCUCCUCCCUCUCCUAAUCUCGGUCACAUCUCUCCUCCCUCUCUCAAUCUUGCUCGCCUCUCUCCUCCCUCUCCCAAUCUCGCUUGCCAGAUAUACAAAUACAUAUGUAUACCAGUUACAUAUAUACAAUUAUCUAACCGAUAUACCUAUAUAAUUCACCUCUCUCUCACUCUCUCGCACGCCUCUCUCCUCCCUCUCCCAAUCUCGCUCGCCACUCUUCUUCCUAUAACAUGUAGCUACGAAUCAUAAUUAGCAAACUAUAGCUAUGGAGCGUAAAUAAGCUAUUUUUGAGUGGCUAUAUGCGAAAGUUUCCCUUUAAUAAAUACCCAUCAACGAAAUAACCGUAGUUAAACAAACAGUUCACAAUUCUUAUUUCAAAUUUACGGGAAGGUUCUUUUAUGAAAGAAAUAGGUUUAGUGUUCGAAAUGACAUAACGGUUCAUUACAAAUUUAUACAUUAUUUUCCAAAUUUAUAUUGUACUCCCACUAUCCCAAUUUAUAUGGCACAGAUAGAAUUUCGAGAGUACUCACAAUUUUUUAUAUGUUUUUAUAAAUAUUUUAAGUUACUAAUUAUUAUGAUUUAUAGUACUCUUUACAUAAUUUUAAAAUAGUAUUGUUAUUUUAUUUGUCCAAUUUAUGUGGCAUGCGUAGAAUUUGAGAGUCAACCAAAUUUUUAUUUUAUUUUUAAAUAUUUUAAGUUAAUUAUUAUUAUUUAUAGUACUUUUACGUAACUUUCAAACAUAUAAUAGACCAAAAUAAAUAUGACAAAUAAAUUGAAACAGAGAGGAUACUUAUUUUUCAGAAAUACCCUCAGCUAGAAGGCAUGUCGAUGAAUUGUUUGCUUCUAGUCAGUAGUUGCCUCUAUAUAAUUAAAAUAUUAUAAGUUAUAAAUUAUUGUGAUUUAUAAUACUUUUUAUAUAAUUUACAAAUAUAUGAUAUAUCAAAAAGAAAAAUAAGAUAAAUAAAUUGAAAUUGAAAAAAUACUGAAUUUUUAAAAAUUCCUCAAUUAAAAAUAGGCAUAUCAACGAACAAUAAUCUUCUCCUAACCGCUUUUAUAUAGUAGUAAUGUGGAAGAAAAACUCAGCUUUUGCUAAUCUGUGAAUUCUACUUAUAGUCACUGGUGGUGACAUGCUUUAAACCCUAGAUAUGCUCUUUAAUUCUCUAAACAUUAACAUUCUUUAUAAUAUCGUUUUUCCUUCUCAUUUUCAUUUCAUUUUAGUUUACUUUAUGACUUAUUAACUAUAUUUUAUUUUCAUUUUUUCAAUUAUGGUGAAUCUCCAACUUAUCUAAGGUAAGAAACUCCUUAAUUAAUCGAAUUGACCUCUGAAGUUUGUAAGCAUCUAUUGUUAAUCAAAUUUGUUUUUUACAUCAUUUUAGCACAGAGUUAAUAUCUCAAAAGGUCACUCAACUUUGAUAAUUUAUCUAGUAAAGUAAUUGAACUGUAUUUUGUAUCAAUAAAAUCACUCAACUUUGAUUUUUAUACCAAUAAAAUCACUCAACCAAAUUUAUCAUUAAAACAGUUGACAAAGCAAAAUAAAUUAUUUUUAUGCUAUAUAAAUAUAAACUUUAUAAAUAUUUAAAAUUAAAGAAAACUUAUCAAAAAAUUUUUUACUGAUAAACUUAAUUAGUGAAAACUAUAUUAUGAUAUUAGCAAGAACCCUCUGCCUUAUCGUAGCAAUAGCGGGGCAAUAACAGUAAUUAUUUUUCGAUUAGAUCCAAUUUAAAUUCUGAUGGCUGAAAAGUGGUGGAAAGAAAACUGUCAAUAAUACGAAAUUUGAACAGAGAGGUGUAUCUAGUGGGGGUUCCGUGGGCUCACUUGAAAUCAUGCUCCCCUCUCUAGAUUAUAUAUAGUAGUGUUAUAUUUUUUUAAAAGUAUUUAAAUAUAAAGGUGUCAUGAACCCACGCUAAAAGUAGCAUAUAAAUAUGAUGAUGACUAGGUGUACCUCUCUAAAUACAGAUAGAAAUUUAAAUCUUAUAUAUCUAUCUCAUUUUUGUUAGUAACACCCCUCCAAGUGGUUAUCGAUAACACUUUUGACGUUUCAAUCAUUUUGUUUUUGUUGUUUUCUUUAAUCUUUCAAAAUUUUCAAGUGUGUAAUAUUGAAAAUUCCUAAAAAACACUUAGCACGGUAAAUUUUUUAUAUAAUAAAUCAAAUGUGUAUAUUGAAAUUUAAAACUAGUAUUAUAUAUGUUAGACCUAUAAUUUUUAAAAUUUAAUAGUUUAGUGUUAAGAACGUAAUUAUCAAAUCGAUCAAAUUUAUAUCUUAGAUGCAUCUUUUCAUAAUAGUGCAUCCAUCCUUUUGAAAUCGUGGAUACGCCAGAACAGUGCCUUAAUUAGUAUAUAUCAAGUUCAAACAUCUCGAUUGAAUUGCCAUUGAUGCUUUUGGGUGAUGCUAACAAACAUCUCGAUUUAUUUAUGAAUUCUCCUAAAAAAACAUAUUUUUUUACCCCUGAAUAUUAGUUUUAAUUUUUCAAAUAUAUAAAAUGUUCAUCCAUUUUUGUUCUUUUUAUUACUUAGCAGAACUGUGACUUCUUCUCCGAAUUUGACAAUGGUUUUGUUUUAUUUUUGUGAUGGUUACAGUGAUUCGGUGACUAAAACCUUGAUUUAGGAGAGGAAAUGGCUGGUGAUAUAUUUUUUUAAUAAUAAAUUAAGUUAAGUGAUUUUAUUGAUAUAAAAAUUCAAGAGUGAAUUUAUUGAUACAAAAUAAAGUUUAUUGAUUUAACUAGAUAAAUUAUUAAAAUUGAGUGACUUUUUAAGAUAUUAACUCUUUUAGCAUAUAAAUAUCUCUUUUAGGUCUACUCUUGACCUUUUGACUUUACUUCAUUGUUGAUAGGUUUAAUAUGUGAAAAUUGAAAAUAGUGAAAUCAUAUUUUAAAUAUAAAUUUGAUGUUUAUCUGCGAAGCCGCAUUUUAAAUAUAUAGUUUACUAACCCUCACAAAUAACUGUAGCAGUGAUUUUCACAAGUCCUACAGUUACAUAUAUUAUAAUUGAUUUGCUGUGUUUUUUUAAGACAGUGAUUUUUUAGGAUGGUUAUAAACCUCCGUUAGUUAUUUUAUCAAAUUCUGAAUACAUUCAUUUUGUGACAGUUGUAACCUCCGUAAUUUUUGACAAACAAUUAGCAUUUCGCUAUUUAUACAAUUAGAUUACAAUAAAUAUGAAUUUUAUAAUUAAUAACUAAAACUUGUACAUUCAUAUAUAAGAAACAAAAUAUAGUUUAAGGAUCGUAAAUCUCUUGAAACACUUGAAUGGAAAAAAUGCAACUCAUGUACCAUCAAAAUUGAAGUUAAAAUGUAUUUUAAGAAUUGUAAAUCUCUUGAAACACUUAUGUAACUCAUGUACCGUCAAAAUUGGAGUCAAUAUGUAUUUUAAGGAUUGUAAGAGUUCAUUUGAAUUGGCUUAAAAAGUAGCUUAUAAGUAAAAAAUAAAAAGUUAAACUUGAAUGAUUUUUAAGUCAAAAAAAUAAAAAGUAGGGGGAGACCUACUUUUAGUUUUUGACUUAUUUUAAGUCAUUUUUUACCUUACCAAACACUUCCUAGCUUAUUUUAAGUUAUUUUUUUAUAUUUUUCAAACACUUUCAGAAGUCAAAAAUUGACUUAAAGUAGGUUUGAUCAACUUUUAAGUCAAUCCAAACACCCUCUAAAUCUCUUGAGACACUUGAAUGGAAAAAAUGUAACUCAUGUACAGUCAAAAUUGGAGUCAAAAUAUAUUUUAAGGAUUGUAAAUCUCUUGAAAUACUUGAAUGGAAAAAAAAGUAACUCAUGUACCAUCAAAAUUGGAGUCAAAAUAUAUUUUAAGGAACGUAAAUCUCUUCAAAAACUACAUAAUGUACAAUUCAUUUAUAGACUUAACUUAACCACGAAGUAAAAAAAAUUAAUUAUCGCCUAUAAAUUACGUGACUUUCUUCUCAAUGUUUUUCAAGCUUAUUCAGUUAAAUCAGCUUUUUUUUCAAAAGUUUUUUUAAGGACAAAAAAUAAAAUUAUACGUCGACAAGAUACUGAAACAAUGAUGACAGAGGCAACUUUCAAAACGGAAAUGGCAAAUCUUGUCAAGAAAUCACGUGAACAAUCAUUGAUAACAGGAGAUCAGGUUGUCAUUCUUGCUUAUUCCCCAAAUGGCAAACAAUUUUUUUAUGAUUCCUCUAAAAAUUCUCACAAAAUUGAUAGGUCUCUAAUUCAAAAAGUGAAGAACGUUGUUGCGGCUAAAAGAUGAUGUGAAGGCUAGGUCAUUGAAUCAUUGGAGAAGAGUUUAUCAAAUCUUCUUUUAUUUAAUUUUGGUUUGUCGGUUAAGUCCAUUUGUUUCGAUAUUUAAGUCUUUUAUGGGUCGGUUGUUGUCCUUUAAUUUGCAGUCAUCUUAUGAUGUAUUUUCUCUUCUCUCUUAGGGUAUUUUAAUAAAAUGAACUCUUCUCUAUUAAAGAUUGUGACUUAAACUAAUGAAAUAAAUAGUUUAAUGUAUUUCUUGAUGACAUCAUUCUAAAAAAUAAUUAAGCUAUUUAAUUGUGUGAAAACUCUAUGAAGUGACAUAUUCAAUAUUGCUUUAAAGAGAAAUAAAAAGAGGAUCAUUUACAACGAAUUUACAACAUAAAAGAAAAUUUUCACAUCCGGAUGCUUUUUAGAAAGAGCCACAAUUGUCAACUGCAAUUGGUGAGCAAAAUAAUGAAUAUAAUAUGUAGGUGGAGCAUCUUGCAAAUUCAAAGACUUUAGGCCAUUUUUUUCUCCUUGCAUAUUACUAGCUCCAUCAUAACUUUGUCCACGGAGUCUUGAUAGGCAUAAUGAGAGAUCCAAAAAUAAAGAGUAAAUUGAUCUUUGCAAUGAUCUUGCGGAUGUAUCACUCACAUGAACAAUACCCAAAAAGCUUUCUGUCAACUCUCCAUUUUUGUUAACAUAUCGUAAAACUAGUCUCAUUUGCUCUUUUAUGUGAAAUGUCCUUUGACUCAUCAACUAGUAUUCCAAAAUAAUCACCAUCCAAGUCUUUGAUGAUAGAUUUAAUUGUUUCUUUAGUACAAACAUCCACAAUCUCUUUUUGAAUUGUCGAACAUAUCAUCAUAUCAUUUUUUGGAGCAUGUUGUAAUAUAUCAUUUUCCACAUCCGGACGAUUAAACUCAUGAAAUUUCAAAAGUUCAAGAAAAAUACCUUUGUAAUCAGAUGACCACAAAAUGGUAAUCCGUUUCUUAGGAGAAACUUACCACAUCGAUUGAGGCAUUUAAACGAAUUCGAUAAUCACUUUUAUUUUUUCACUUUGCUUGUGAAGAGAAGAUUGAAUUGAUUGACGUUGAUUCGCAAAAUCAAGCAUCCUAUUCAAACAUUUGUUAUGAAUACUAUUCACCUCACCAACAUGCAAUCGAAUUUUUUUCGGACCAUGGUUCCAAUUUCUAAAACCAUCUUGUGUAAAUGAUUUUUCCGCAUUGCCAUGACUUUCAAAUUUAUUUUUGAAGAGAUAGCAACACAAACAAAAUAUAGCAUCAUAAUUUAUGCUAUAUUCCAACCAAGCAGAAUUUGGAACAUUAAACCACUCAGGAUUAAAUUGUCGAUUCCUAGACCCAAAUGUUGUUUUAGGAUAUAAGGAUAUACACGGAGUUUUGGUUGAUAAGGCCCCAUUAAAAUAUGAUAUCUCUUCAAUACAUCUGAAAUAUUGGAGUCAUAAUCAAAGAGGGGUUUUCUUUCUUCGGGAUCCCGUUUAAGAGAUCCAACCCCAAGAAUACAAUCAACAUUUGAAGAAGAAGGUGUAAUUGUCUCUCUUUGAGCUUAUGGAGCUACAUGUGAACUAACAGAUGGACCUACUAGAAUGUGGUUGGUUAAUCAAUAAUUUAUCCAUUUAGAUAUUCAAGGAUAAAUGUUCCUACAAAUUCAAAUAACUAUUCAACUUAGUCACAAAUUUAACUAGUAAAUUUAAAAUAAAAUAAGAGAAUCGCAUACCUUUCACAAUAAAAAAAAUAAGGGAAUCACACCCUUGAAAGUUCAAAUAAAAUAGAGGAAUCACAAUCCUUACAAAUCUAACUAAAAUAGAGAAAUAACACCACUUUCAUAUUUAACAAUAAGAAAAUCACACAUUCAAAAUAAAAAGAAGACUUGUACCUCUUUUGCAUUCAGAAUCACAUAUUCAUAAUAAAGAAGAGAAAUCACUCCCCUUUCACAUUAAAAAAAUAAGGGAAUCACACCCUUCAAAAUUAAUAAUAUAAUAUAAAAACGCAUUCCUUACAAGUUACAUCCACAAAAUAUGUAAGUUUGAGAUAACCAAUUCAUUAGCUCUUGAUGAUUUCCUAUUAUAAGUAACGACAAGAAUUUUCUUUUUAUGGAAACCCUAAAUUUAAAGUCAUGUAUUUAAUUUUUAAUUAUUUUGUUAGUUUGUUUAUUAAAAAGAGAAUCAUGAACUAAAAAGAAUUUUACCUUAAACUUUGACAAUAAUGAUUUUUCUAGAUUCUUGACUUGAAGUUGGAGACUUGGAGCUUGUUUGGGUGAAAAAUAAAAGACAAUUUUGAAGAGAGAAGAAAACAUAUUGUUGGAACUUGAAAAGUGGGUGGGAAGAAAACCUUUUGAAGUCUUUUGACUUUAUAGCUUUUAGAAUUUAGCUUUUUGAAAAGAAAAAAAAUUGUGUUUUUAUUUAAUAAAAAAACAAAUUGAAGCAAAUUGUUGCUAGCUAGGAUCGAACUUGGGACCUUAGUGUUGAAAACAAGCCUUCAAACCAAUAAAUCAUCUACCCAUUUUGAGAAUGGUUCCACAAGCUUGUAUUUAAUAGAUUCUUUAAUAAUUACAAAUAAUAUAUCGAGUUUAGUCGGAUGACCACGGGUUCCGGUGACCCAGUUUUAAUACAUAAAUUUGACCCUGACCGCAAUAAUUCUUGUAUCAAAAUAUUGUUUAAAUCUAUCAAUGGUAUCAGAGCAUGGUUAGAUUGUUUCUGUUUCGCGUUAUUUUUUGUUCGAAACUAUCAAUAAAUCUGAAAUCUGUUGUGUUUCGCAUUCAAAGAAAAAAAAUCGCCGAUUCCUUUAUGCAAUAUAUCAGAACUGUGUUCAUCCUUUUGUUUUUCCUUAUUAUUUGUUUUGAAUCAAAUAUGUGGAAAUAACUUAUUCAUGAAAUAUAUAUUAUUAUUUUUAAAGAAUAAAAGGGGAAAAUGAAUGGAAUAAGCGAGGUCAUGUACAUUUUUUUGAAAGGAUAAGUUAAUGGAGAGAAGAAGUAGAUUCUGUUAUUGAUUUAUACGUUUUUGUUUGUUCAUUUUUUAACGAAAAUGUAGUACUUGUCUUAUGUGUACUAUUAUACUUUAUUAAAGGAGAAGAAUUUUGUCUUUAAAAAUGAAGUACUAAUCCUAUGUAUACUACUUUUCUUUAUUAAAGAAGGAUGAAAUUUUGUUUUCUUUAGUGGGAAGGAAUUUUUUUUAUGAACGUGAUUUUGUUUCUUUUUAUAAAAGAAAUAUGUAUUUUCUCAUUAAUUCCUUUCAUGAAAUAACAUAUACAAAUGUUUGCCCAAGUGAAUAUAGGUUUUUUUAGUUCACUUCUUAAUUAUAAGAAGAAAAAAAACUUCCUUGAAAAAAUGUGUAAAGGUUUUUUCUUAUACUGAACUCUUUUUUUAAAAAAUUUUAUUUUGUUGGAAAACAUUGGAAGAGUAAUAAAAAAAGGGAAAAGAAUUUAUUUUUUUAUGUAGUACUGUAAGUUAUCAUGUGCUUAUAUUAUUUGUCACUUUUAAGGAAAAAGUGGAAUACAAUGAUAUGACAUCCAUUUUUUAAGGAAAUUGAACAGUAGUACUAGCAUGUGAUGGUCUUCCAUUCUUUAAAGAAAUUAAAAGAGUACUAUUUUUCAUUUUAAAGACAUGUGAAAAUUAUAGAAAUAAAGGUAUUAUUUUUAAUAUGGUCAAUUUUUUUUUUUGAGUUUUGGACUUUAAUAUUUAUUUAUUUUUAACAGUAAUAUGCUGAUAUUUGAGUAUAUACAGUAUGGUUUAUAUAAAUAAUUUAUUUGGCCUUGAAAGAAAUCGUUUAGUCCUUAUGUUCCUUAAACAGUUCCUUGUCUUCUACGAGAAAUUUGUGACAUACGUUGUCGUAUUAAAUGGUAUUAACCAUUUUUUUUUUGUUCCCAUUUCAGAUAUGGAUAAAUAAGAACAUGCUCAAAUUACUCCAAGUGAGAGUUCUCAAAGUCGAGCAAAGGAAAGAGGUAGAAGAGCAAAUCGUCGUAGGACAUGUUUCCUAGGGCGUGAAAUUAUAUGAAUUGGUGUCCCAAAGGUGCCACAAAAUUUGUUAACGAAUCAAAGGGCAAUUCGAAGGAAAAGAGAGAAGAAAUUUAAAGAGUUUAAGUCUUUGAAGAUGUCCCCUAAUAUUUCAGCACAUGAUUUUAUUCACAUUUUAAAAAUAAAAUGGACUGAACUGGUUGAUUAUAAGGAAAUUUGAUAUUGGAGAGCGUUAGCUUAUUUAACAGACGCUCUACAUGAACCUUGGGGUAGUAUAUUGACUGAAGUUUAUCAUGAUAUUUGGUCCACUCAGCCUUUUAGGGUGUAUAUUUAUUGCCCUGAAGAUUUGUGAAAGGAUUCUAGUCGUCACGGCCCAGACCGUCGUGAUUGACACCAUACUAACUCUUCGGUGGGAGAACCAUUACUACAACCCAAACUGAACAACUCAACCAAAAACUAAGGCAUUUAAAGAUACGGAAGCAGGUUUAAAUGCUAAAGGAAAAAUAGAGUUCCCAUAAACUCCAAAAGUCUAAUCAAACGAUUGCGGAAAUAACAUCUAGAACCUGAAAGUCAAUAUAUCAAAACUCUAACAAGGAUCAUAAGUUUAAAGGAAAUGGGCACAACCCAAUUAAACAUAAGAAAAUCUAAAGAACUAGUCUAAGUUCGAAGAUGUGGACAUAAACAAAAAGAGGACUCAUGGCAGCCUGGAAGAACUGGCUCAUGCUUGAAUUCGAUUGAUCACUGAUCUUCUAGACGAGAUCAGUCGCAUGAAGAUGCCCUGUACUCAACAAAGAAAGAGCAAGGGCAGUAUCAGUACACAAUCACAGUGUACUAGUAGGAUCACACGACUAUCUCAAUAGGUGAACAUAUAUAAGUCAUUAUAACAAUAAUAAACAUGAAUACACCGAACAUAUACAAUAUCCAUUAUCACUUAGGACAAUGUACAAUUUCACAAAUCUCAAGAUAUACAGUCAUGUCAAGUCAAUGGUCCUCUCAUGGAACCCAUACCCAAACUGUUAGUGUGCUAGUACGUGAUACUCGAUUUAAGUUAGUGUGUCGGACAUGACACCUGAUCCCAUAUAUGCGCUAGAACGUGGCACCCAAUCCAAGUUAGUGUGUUGGAACGUAACACCUGAUCCAUUCAACAAGCCACAAUCACAAUCGCAAUGUACAUUCUCAUAAUCAUACAAUCAAGUCAUGAUUCAUGGCAUACAAUUAUUCAAUCAUCCUCAUUUACUAUUAGUGUGAUCAAUAAUGUAACAUUCCCAUACAUACAUGCAUUAUAAUGAAGUAAUUACUAACAUACAUCACACCAACAUGAAAAUCACAACCAUCACCUACCUCAAACAAAGCUUGAAUCACCUAAGAAACUUGAUUCUUCCCUUUCCAGAUUCUUUCCGCUUUGUUCUUGGUCUACAAACAAUCAAUAUAACGUGAGGAUCAAUAAACAAGACCUAAUUACCCAGAUCAUAAUCAAUAAUACCAACCCUAGGUCAACCCUUGAUCCCCAUAUCUAGAUUAGGGCUUUUUCCACUAUAAUUUCCAGAUCAAAAACCCUCCCCCAUCGAUAAUUACCCAUGAGUUUACAUUCUUUGGAUCAAAAAAUAGAUUCGGGGAGUAAAAACCUUACAUUUAGCCUCAAGAAUGGUGAAAAACUGUCAAGAAUCGCCUGGGGUCGUCUCUUAGAUCUCUAAAACAAAAAUUGUAGAAUAAUGGCUUUUUGGGGUUUAUUUCCGACUUAAUUUGUGACUGGCCCGUUAUGGCGGCCCGCCCUGGUGGGAUAAAUUUUACCCUGGCGGCUUGCGCAGAAACAGAACGUCGUAAUUAGAGUCUCAAACCCCCAUUUCACAACACACCUUCAUCCCAUGACACUCAGAAAUUAUCCAUUCACGCUAAGAUCAGUUUUGGGAGUUCUACUCACCCGAAUUCGAUUCUGUAAAGUCGUAUGGGUUCCUUAACGUCUUAGCUAUCCACUCAUGAAAUCAAAUUCCUUGUUAAAUCACCCAAUCAUUACCAGAUUUUCCUAGGCUCACAUGACUCCGAUUUCAUCCAAAUCUGGACUAGGCUAGAAAAUUUCAAGUUACUACGAAAAAGUUUUUCGGCCCAAAAUUUUUCCCCGUUGGCUUUUUUUAUAAUGACAGAAAUAGGUCGUUACACUAGUCUUUAAAAAUUCUAGUAAUUUAUUAUUGCUUAUUUGCUUUACAAUAUAUGAAUUAUGUAGUUUGUUUUUCCUUAACUUAAGUUAUUAUACUUAAAAAAUACUUGUUAUUAAAGUCUUCAAUAUAUAUUAGUGUAUACAUCAAGAAAUUAGUUUCAAAUUUUGGUUAAAUAUUUUGUUCGUAGAUGAUGAUUGGAUGCUUAUGUGUCUUUUCGAUUUUACAUUAAAUAUGAAACCUUUAUGAGAAUUGAUUUGCUUGAAUGUGUAUGUCACAUGAAUACUUGAUUAGACAUUUUUUCCUUAUUAUAUCUCGUAACAGACAUCGCAUCAAAAAAUAUUAUUGCUGAAAAAUUCAACAGUGACAAUUUCGACAUUUGGAGUCGUAAAAUAUUAUAUGUACUAGAAAAGAAAAAUGCUCUAGAAGGUAUAAAUCAAGUUUUGAAUCAACCAGAAUAGGGCAACUUUGCACAACACAUAAGGGAUAUUAUAGCUUACAAAGCAUGGACAAAAAGUCAAUUCCACUGCACAUGGAAUAAUAGUUAGUUCUAUGGUUGAUGACCUCAUACAUGGAUGUGAGGAAUUUUCUACUGCUCAUACUAUGUGGGCAUAUCUGCGAGGAACGUAUGGGGGUACGUCUGUAACCCGCCUCCGACAGUUGAAUAUCAAAUUUGACACUUACAAGAAGCGUCAUGAUCUAAAUAUCAAACAACACCUUAGGAUAAUGUCAAACAUGAUAGCUCAACUCAAGAGUAUUGUUAAUGUUCUUUCAGAUGAGCAAUAAGUUUAAGUAGUGAUUCAGUUUCUUCGCAAUAAUUGGAAACAUUUGAAGGUUAACUUGACCCAUAAUGAUGCAUCAAAACUUUUUCUAAUAUUACCCACCAUGUUAAGCUUGAAGAUGAGUGUCUUGGUGCUACUAAAGUUGCUUCCAAUACCUUUGUGACAGAGUCAAGGGGUACAAAAUCAUUCAAGAUUCAAGUGCAAGAAAAAUUGGAAAAGAAAUGAGAAAGACACAGAAAGUGGAGAAGGACCCUCUAAGGAAAGUAAGUCAAAUUCCAAGAAAGGAAAAUGAUUUUUCAAAAAGAGGGACAAGAGCAGAAUGAAGUGCUACAAUUGUCAAGUGCUGGGGCAUUUUACUCGUGAAUGUACUAAGCCAAAAAAUGUAGUAUUUCUAAAUGCAUCUGUAAGUGCUACAUAUGUUUUCAACACUUCUUUACUAACUGAAUCUUAUCAUAUGUAAAUUGUAGACUCAGGAUCCAUCGACCACAUGAGUCAAGAUCAGGAAGCGUUUGUGGAGCUUUGUCGAGUUCCAUCUAAAUCAAGGUGGAUCUACAUAGAAAAUAAUGUCAAACUAGAAGUCAAAGGGAAAGGCAGCUGCAAAGUGGACUUGUGUGAUGGUCGUUCCUUGAUGUUGCAUGACGUCCUAUAUGCUCCAGAGAUUCGACAAAACUUAGUUUUUGUGUUUGUUCUUUUAGACGUUUGUUUUGAUUUGUUUUUUAGUCGUAAUAGUGUUAGAAUAGCUCUAGCUAAUUUUUUUAAUAUGGUUUUAGACUUCGUUAUGAUCGUUUUAGAUUGUUAUCUUUUGACUUGGGGCUAUUAUGUUGAUCGUUGUGUAUUGACAUGUUAUUCAGUAACAAUGAUAUUGAUGUUAUUACAUGGAAUGCAAGAUUAGGUCAUAUAAGGUAAGAUCGAAUGAAUAGGUUGGCAAAAGAAGGGAAUUUAGGUUCUUUCACCAAAAUUGAUAUGCUAACUUGUGAAAAUUAUCUUGCUGGAAAGAUUACACAUAAACCAUUUGGGAAGGCUAAAAGAGUUGAGUUCCCACUUCAAUUAAUUCAUUCUGAUGUUUUUAGGCCAAUGAAUGUGAGGGCAAGGUCAUGUGCUACAUACUUAAUUACAUGUAUUGAUGAUUUCACGCAAUUUGUUAUGUCUAUUUGAUUUCUCAUAAAUCUGAAGCACUUGAGUUCUUUAAAAGAUAUAUGAAUGAAGUUGAAAAUCAAUUAGAUAAAAGCAUAAAGGCUUUAACAACCGAUCGAGGUCGUGAAUAUUUGUCAAAAUAAUUUGAAUAAUUAUGUACUGAAAAAGGUAUUAUCAAACAGUUAACUACUUCUUAUACACCUCAACAAAAUGGUGUAGCUGAAAAAGGAAUAGAACAUUAUUGGACAUGACUAGGUCAAUAAUGGCAUAGACAAAUUUAUCUAUCUCUUUCUGGGAGAUGCAUUAUUGACUGUAUCUUAUAUAUUGAAUAAGGCCUUUUAAAUUAGUAUCUUCGACUCCUUAUGAACUUUGAGAUGGUCAUAAAAUAAACCUAAAUGAUCUACGACCUUAGGUUGUGCUGCAUAUAUCAAAGAUCGUCUUGGUGAGUUUGGUAAACUAAGUCCGAAAGGAAAGAAAUGUAUCUUUAUAAAAUACUCAGAACACUCCAAAAGAUAUAUGUUCAUUGAGGAAUUGGAGGAUGGAAGUAUUAUUGAAAUUGUAUCACGAGAUGUCAGAUUUUUAGAAAAUGAUUUUCCCAAAAAGGAUGAAAUUGAUGAAGGUGAGCCUCUAUACGAGAUAUUGAAUUUAGAAGAUCAUAUAAUUUCUUCAGACAUACUUGAUAAUUCAAUGGAUCAAGAAAUGAUAUUUGGUCUAAGUGGGAGUUAUGAAUCCCAAAAUCCUAUUGAGGAAUUUGAACUUCAAAUACGUAAGAGUACAAGGUGUACCUAAAUGAUCUUAUGAGAGUGAGAAUUAUGUUUUUUUGGUAUCUCUUACAGAAUUGGAUGAACCUAAUUUUGUAACCGAUGCCUUAUCAAGCCCUAAAAGGGAUGAAUGGUUAAAAGCGAUGAAAGAAGAAUUAGAGUGCAUGAAAACUAACAAAGUUUGGGAUCUAGUUUACCUUCCUAAGGAAUAUAAAGCUAUUGGGAAUAAUGGAAUCUAAAAGUUCAAUGUAAAUCGGAUGGGUCAAUAGAAAAACACAAAGCACAAUUUGUGGCAAAAGGUUUUACUGAAGAAGUUGGAAUAGACUACGAGGAAAUGACUUAACACUCAAUAUAUAGUCUGGUUCUCAAGCGAACCCUCAUCCUGGCUGACUACAAGCGGAAGACUAACUCAAGCAUACAAAGCUUAAAAACUUAAUAAAAUUUAUGAAACUGAAAUACAAAACUUUAACUCAAAUGAAAAACUCUAAAUAUAAAAAUAAUAUUCAACUCGCCAUAAAAUAGGCAACUUAAGUCUUUAAAACAUUUAAUAAAAUAAAUGAAUAAUACAGGCCUCUCAACUACACUGACUAUAUAUGAAGCCUCUAACUGAUAAAGAUGGAAGUCGGAACAAGACCCACAACAUCCUGACUAAACUGAAAAGUAAAUGAAAUCCUCCGGAAACAAGAAGGCUCACCAUAGCUAACUCGAACUCCCGGAUGUAUCAACGAAGCUCCUGUUGAUGAUCCUGAAUACCUGUGUCUGCAUCAUGAAAAGAUACAGGCCAAAUGGCUCAGUACGUGGAAUGUACGAGCAUGUAAGGGGAAUUCUAAAACAUAAACAUAAGCUUGAAACUUGAUAAAAAGAAACAUACUUACCUCUUCUCAAACUUACUCAACUCAAGGAAUUCUCAAGGAUACUCAAAACUAUUCAAACUUGCUCAACUCAUAAAUACUCAACGAUAAGAUACUCAACUCAGAGAUAAGAUACUCAACUCAAAGAUAUGAUAUUCGACUCUGUGUACUAAACUCUGGAUACUCAACUCGAUAUAACUGAGCUCAUUUCAAUAUAAAGCAAUUUAAAACAAGUGCAAUAUAAAGAAAAAGGAAAAAUGUUUAAAACAUGAUGUCAACUCAUAAUCAUAAUAUCAUAAAAGACAUACCAUGCUCCCUCUCAAAGUCUACUUGUGAAAUGCAUGAAUGAAGUCCCAUACUCCCAUUCAUAAUAAGCAAAACCCCUUGUGGAACCAUGCAAUUACUUCUAUGGGAGUUUCUCUAACCGACAACCAUCACUUAAUAGCUAUAGUGAUGAUACAGUGUUAUCAACCCCACGUUGCCCGGGCCAUCCUAUACCUUGUUGGGGUAUAGGGCCUGAACUACUAAGUGGAUCCGUUCAUCUAAAAAGUAUGACCCUUUUCUACCCAUGAUGGCUACAUGGUUUAUGGAGACUUGAGUUAAUAUGAACUCGCAUCCCCAUAUCGGUGCUCAAUACUACUCCCAAAAAUAUACUUAGCUCAUAUGUUUUAAAAACAACUUCUUCAGUGAUUUGAUAUUAGUGCUCAAAAACUUAGCUCAAAGGCUAUCUUUGAAAUCUCAGUUUCCGUUCUUAUUUAAAUGUGAAAAACAUUUUUAAAACUCUUUUGGGAAUACAUAGUCCCCAUAUACUUUUGAAGAAAUGAACUUCAACUUUACUCUUUACUGAACUCAAAGCUUAAGUCUUAAAACAAAGUUAAAACAUUUGUAAAAGACUUCUUAAAAUAUGGUUCAUGCCGAAUGAUGGACAUGAACGACUCUAUGCAAGGUUUUCAAUAACCAUAGAUAGAACUCAAUAUUUAGAACUCAAGAACUUCAAUGAUACUACUCAUUUCAAGAAUGCUCAACUCAGAGGGUUCAUGCGAAAUUAUGAGCAUGAACAACUCAACUCAAUGACUCAAAAGAUACUUCUUAUCUCAAGACUGUUCGACUUAUAAUGUUCAUGCGGAAUUAUGGGCAUGAACAACUCAACUCAUGGACUUCAUGGGUAAUAGGUAAUAAUCCCAUGAUUAGGAUUAUAAUCUCAGAAGGGUUAGGAACUCGAUACUCAAGACUUAGAACUUGAAGAUACUACUUCUUUCAAAGAUACUAAACUAAUGGAGUUCAUGCGUAAGUUAUGGGCAUGAACAACUCGACUCGAGGGUCUACAUAAUAAUAUGGAACUCGUGAAUACAACUCUUCUCAUUCUGUGACUUACUUCCUCAAAACUUAGUUCAAAUCGACAAUUGAUCUCAAAGGAUUCACAAUUGAACUCAAAGGCUUUCUUGAACUCUACUUUUAACUCUCUUCUUGAAUGUGAAUUAUGAAUUCAAGAGUUAUGGUUCAUGAUAUGAAUAAUCUAGGUGAUAGUGUAGACUCAUGAAUACAUUAUCCUCACUCUCAUUCUCACUUACUUGAGUUUUGAAACAAGUUAUUAGAAAUUGUAGAAGACUCCUCAGAAGGACUCAAAGGGACUGUCUCAAAAUGAUCGAAAAAACACUCAAGACUGAACUCUUAACUUUUCUAAAAAAAUUGAAUUAUUAAUUCAAGGUUAGGAUUCAUGUUAUGAAUGAUUUCUAAGUAUUUAUAAGUAGUUUAGAGUGAUUAGAAUCAAAGGGAGUGAAAAUACACUUAAAAAGGACGCAAAUGGGACAACCGGCGGAAAAAGAGUGGGGGCAGGCGACCCUGGCGCGUUCCGGGCGUGGGGCACCAGCCCCUAACUUCAGAGACUGCAUAUGGGCGCACUGCAGGGGCGCCAUCCCAGCCCCUUGGGCGCACCUGGGGCACGCCGCCCCAGCCUUUCCCCAGGCCAAGUUCGACGAAUUUUGCCUCUCGUUUUCUGAUCCAAAAUCACUUUUAAUCGAUUUCUUUCUCAAGUUUUCCUUAGAUUCAAUAACCCAACCUAAGUACACACUAAUCCACUCAAAACAAUCACUUUUCAUCUCAAGAAAUCAUCAAAACCCCAACAAAACAAAAUUUUAGAAUGAACUUCAAGAACACCUAUCAAGAACUUAAAUCCUUCAACUUUUGAGAAUGAAAUUACGCUGAAAAUAACAUGUUUGGUGUGUGGGUGAACUAAUCCAACACUAUGUAAGCUUACAUACCUCUUAGGGAUCAACCCCAUGGCAACAAUCCGCAACAACUCUCAAGAAUUUCGACGAAUGCUUCGAACCUUUCUCUUUUCUCCUCUUCUUUUCUCUUCUUGAACUCUCAAUUAAAACCCUAGGCAUAAACUAGGAUUAUAAAACUGAAACUAAUCAUAUUAGACCCCUAAAAUAUUACUAAAAACAAGUUAAAUCUGAAUUGGGUAAAGGAAAAGACCAAAAUACCCCUCUAAAAUCCGGUUUUGACUUUCCUUAUCUAGACACGGCAACAUCGAAUGGACAUAUCUCCCUCAUACGAUAUCAAAAUUGAGAAAGCUUGGUGGCGUUGGAAAGAUAAUUCAAAGAUCUUCCCUACGGUAUCUAGUAUCAUACCUAACUUAUCUUGAGCUAGAAGUUAUGGUCAUUUGAAGUCGACCCAAAACUCAUACUUAGCUUAACUUGCAAAAUUUCAAAUUUAAUUCUUUUUGAAACUCAAGGUGCUACGUCUAGUGACCUUAACACUCAAGAAAUUUUAAAUUCCUUGCAAAAAUCUCACUCACUACAAAGAAGGGUUCGAGUCUUAGUUCAAAAAAUUUCUGGGGUGUUACACUAACUACUUGGUGGUGCUAUUUCCUGAAAAAGCAAAAAGCAAAGUUGCACAGCUCUUUCAACUAUGGAAUCUGAAUUUGUGGCUUGUGCAUAUGCAGUACAAGAAGUUGUUAAGUUAAAGAGAUUUUUUAAGCAUUUGAGUAUUGUAAAGAACUCUAAGGAUCCCAUGUAUCUAUAUUAUGAUAGCCAAGCGGCUAUCACAUACACGAAAUGUAACAUCCCGCCUUAGAAAGAGCUAAAUUUAGAAAGAACUAAUUUGGAAAGAGCCAAAUUUAGAAUUUUUUAACUUAUGCUUAAGUUGUAAGUUUUGUCAACUUCAAAUGGCCAAAACUUUCAGUACAGGAUGAUUUAGGUGGCCCAUAAUAUAUAAAAUAAAAGGUAUUUGAAUUCUCUUUCCACCUCCACCGAGUUUGUCAAAUUUCGAGUUAGAGUGAGGGAGAUAUGCCCGUUUGAAGUCAGUAUCUCCAGUUAAGGAAAGUUACCCGGAUUAAUGAGGGGUAUUUUUUUCAUUUCCUUAACCCAUCAGCUUAAAACAUGUUUAGUAAUAUUUUAGGGGUCUAAACUGAUUUGGGUCAGUUUUCACAAUCCUAAAUACGCUUAGGGUGUUGAGAGGAGUUCAAGAAGAGAAAAGAGAAGAGGUUCAAGGCGUUCGUCAAGAUUCGUGAGAUUUGUCGAGGAAUUACGCCAAAUUAAGGUAUGUAAGCUUUCAUAGUGAUGGGUUCGUUCACCCACAUGCCAAUCAUGACUUAUAUUAUCGAAUUCAUCCAUGUGAUUGAGUAUAUUGAGGUUCUUGAUGAAAUUCUUGAGGUGUUGUUCUUCGUUCUUGAAUUUUGAUGUUUGGUUGAGUUCUUGAGGCGAGGACCUUGUUAAUAAGAAUUAUUCUUGAGGGUUUUCGAGCAGAUUUUCAUGUAAAUAAGUUGAAUAAAUGAAUAUAAGAGGGUUGGGAAGAAACCAUUUGAUUCUAGGCGAAUUAGGGUCAGAAAACGAGAGAACAAAAUUCGUCGUGUUUUUCAGGCAGGGGCCGGCGCGCCACUUCAGCAAUGCGCCAAAAGUGACCCUGAGAAGUUUGAGGGCUGGCCAGGGUCACCUGCCCCAUCGUGUUUUCCAUCGUUUGACCCGUCUGAGUUCUUUUAAGGUGUAACUUUACUCUUUUAUGAUUCUAACUACUCUAAACUACAUCUAAAAAUUGAGAAAUCCUUCAUAACAUGAAUCAUAACCCUUGAAUUCAUAAUUCAAAUUCAAGGUAUAUUUAAGGGCAAAGUCUUGAGAGUUCUUUCGAGUCAUUUUGAGAAGUCUCUUACAAUAUUUUUUUAAAAUUUGUUUUAAGACUUGAGUACUUGAGUUUGAGGAUGAGGAAAGUUGAGUUUUAUUUUUCAAAAUGUGUAUAUGGGAAAUAAGUAUUCCCAAGAGUAAAUGUUUUACAUUUAAAAGGAGCGGAAACAUCGAUUUCCAAAUGAGUUCAUGAGGAGUUUCUUAGUAUAAUCUCUUUUAAGAGAACCUUUUAAGUAAUAAUCUCAAAGCUUGAGGAUGAGUAAAUUUUUUUAAGCAUAUGAGCUGAGAAUAUUUUUGGGAGUAGUAUUGAGCACCGAUAUGGGGACGAGUUCAUAUAACUCAACGUCCUCAUAAACCAUGUAGCCAACGCGGGUAGAAAGGGUCAUACUUUUUAGAUGAUUCCUUAUUGCCUUUUAAUCAUAGCUUAGUGGAUCCACUUAGUUGAGCAUGUCUUAUACUACGGCAAGGUAUAGGACAAUUCUGGCAACGUGGGCGAGACGUUGAAUCAUCACAUAGCUCAUAGUGAUGGUUGUCGAUUAGAGAAUCUCCCAAAUUGAGUUAUUUUGUAUUUUUACAUACAAACUGAGUUAUUAUUGUAUUUUUAAAUACAUUAAGUUGUUACAUAUUGUUUUAAAUCCUUUAUAUAAAUUUCAUCUUUAUUGUUGUUUUGAUACUACAUUGAGUUUAGUAUCCAUGAGUUGAGGUGAGUAUGUUUCCUUCUUUCCAAGUUCAAGCUUUUAUAUAAUGUUCGGUAUUUCCCCUUACAUGUUCGUACAUUCAAUAUGAUGAUGCCAUUUGGCAUGCAUCGUUUCAUGAUGCAGAUACUGGAGAUCAGGGUCAUCAACAGGCGUUUCGUUGAUAACAUAGCAGUUCGAGUUAGCUUUAGUGAGCUUUCUUGCUUCCGGAGGAUUCUUUUUUUAAUUUUCAUCUAUUUCAGUUUUGUUAGGAUGAUUGGGGGUCUUGUCCUGACAUCCCUCAUAGUAUUAUAGGCUUCAUAGAUAGACAGUAGUAUUUGAGGAGUCUUUCUUUCAUUUCUCUUAUUAAUGUUUUAAAGAUGGUGAGUUGAACACUUAUGUUCAUUUGAGUAUUUUGAGUUAACUACUUUAUUUAUGAGUUGAGUUGUUUGUGUAAUUCUAUUUCACCUGAGUAAAUCUUCUGCUGAGAGUUGAGCCAGGCCAAGGGUUCGCUUGAGGCCAACAAUGGUUCUGGGAUGGCGGCCACGUCUAAGGUAUAGGAUCGGGGCGUUACAAACUUGGUUCAAAAUGAAUAUAUGGGAAAUAAGUAUUCUCAAGAGUAAUUUUUUUACAUUUAAAAUGAGUGGAAACAUCGAUUUCAAAAUGAGUUCAUGAGGAGUUUUUGUGUAUAAUCUCUUUUAAGAGAACCUUUUGAGUAAUAAUCUCAAAGCUUGAGGAUGAGGAAAUUUUUUUUAAUGUAUGAGUUGAGUAUAUUUUUAGGAGUAGUAUUGAGCACCGAUAUGGGGAUGAGUUCAUAGAACUCAAAAUCCUCAUAAACCAUAUAGCCAACGUGGGUAGAACGGGUCAUACUUUUUAGAUGAUUCCUUAUUGCUUUUUAAGCAUAGCUUAGUGGAUCCACUUAGUUGAGGAUGUCUUAUACUCCGAAAAGGUAUAGGAAAGUUCAGGUAGCGUGGGCAAGACAAUGUAUCAUCACAUAGCUCAUAGUGAUGGUUGUCUGUUAGAGAAUCUCCCAAAUUGAGUUAUUUUGUAUCUUUACAUACAAAGUGAGUUAUUAUUGUAUUUUUAGAUAAAUUGAGUUGUUAUAUAUUAUUUUAAAUGAUUUAUAUAAACUGCAUAUUUAUUGUUGUUUUUAUGCUGCAUUGAGUUGAGUAUCCAUGAGUUGAGGUUGAGUUGAGUAGAGUUGAGGUGAGUAUGUUUCCUUCUUUAAAAGUUCAAGCUUUUAUGUUAUGUUCAGUAAUUCCCCUUACACGCUUGUACAUUCAAUGUACUGAUGCCAUUUGGUUGCAUCAUUUCAUCAUGCACAUACAGGAGAUCAGGGUCAUCAACAUGCGUUUUGUUGAUACCAUAGCAGUUCGAGUUAGCUUUGGUGAGCCUCCUUGCUUCCAGAGGAUCCAUUUUUUUAUUUUCAUCUAUUUCAGUUUUGUUAGGAUAAUCGGGGGUCUUGUCCCAACAUCCCUCAGAGUAUUAGAGGUUUCAUAGAUAGACAGUAGUAUUUGAGGAGUCUUUCUUUCAUUUCUUUUGUUUAAUGUUUUAAAGACUGCGAGUUAAACACUUAUGUUCAUUUGAGUAUUUUGAGUUAACUACUUUAUUUAUGAGUUAAGUUGAUUGUGUGAUUCUAUUUCACUUGAGUAAGUCUUCCGCUGCGAGUUGAGCCAGGCCAAGGGUUUGCUUGAGACCAUCAAUGGUUCUCAAGUGUCGGCCACGUCCAGUGUGUAGGCUCGGGGAAUGACAAACUUGGUUCAAAAUUAAUAUAUGGAACUAAGUAUUCCCAAGAGUAAAUGUUUUUACAUUUAAAAGGAGCGAAAACAUCGAUUUCCAAAUGAGUUCAUGAGGAGUUUUUUAGUAUAAUCUCUUUUAAGAGAACCUUUUGAGUAAUAAUCUCAAAGCUUGAGGAUGAGAAAAUGUUUUUAAACGUAUGAGCUGAGUAUAUUUUGGGAGUAGUAUUGAGCACCGAUAUGGGAACGAGUUCAGACACCUCAAAGUCCUCAUAAACCAUGUAGCCAAUGUGGGUAGAAAGGGUCAUACUUUUUAGAUGAUUCAUUAUUACUUUUUAAGCAUAUCUUAGUGGAUCCACUUAGUUGAGGAUGUCUUAUACUCCAGCAAGGUAUAGGAUAGUUGUAGCACCGUGGGUGAGACGUUGUAUCAUCAUAUACCUCAUAAUGAUGGUUGUCGGUUAGAGAAUCUCCCAAAUUGAGUUAUUUUGUAUCUUUACAUACAAACUGAGUUAUUAUUAUAUUUUUACAUACAUUGAGUUGUUAUAUAUUGUUUUAAAUGCUUUAUAUAAACUGCAUCUUUAUUGUUGUUUUUAUACGACAUUGAGUUGAGUAUCCAUGAGUUAAGUAGAGUUGAGUUUAGUAUGUUUCCUUCUUUCCAAGUUCAAGCUUUUAUGUCAUGUCUAGUAUUUCCCCUUACAUGCUAAUACAUUCAAUGUACUAAUGUCAUUUGGGCUACAUCGUUUCAUGAUACAAAUAUAGGCAAGCGAUUCGUUGAUAUCAUAGCAGUUCGAGUUAGCUUUGGUGAGCCUCCUUGCUUCUGGAGGAUCUCUUUUUUUUAUUUUCAUCUAUUUCAGUUUUUCUAGGAUGAUCGGGGGUCUUGUCUCGACAUCCCUCAGAGUAUUAGAGGCUUCAUAGAUAGACAGUAGUAUUUGAGGAGUUUUUAUUUCAUUUCUCUUGUUAAUGUUUUAAAGACUGUGAGUUGAACACUUAUGUUCAUUUGAGUAUUUUGAGUUAACUACUUUAUUUAUGAGUUGAGUUGUUUGUGUGAUUCUAUUUCACUUGAGUAAGUCUUCUGCUGAGAGUUGUGUCAGGCCAAGGGUUCGCUUGGGGCCAGCUAUGGUCCUCGAGUGCCAGUCACAUCUAGGGUGUAGGGCUCGAGGCGUGACACGAAAGAUCCUAAGUAUCACAGCAAGACCAAACAUAUUGACAUCAAAUAUAACUUUGUGAGAAUGUAGUGGCAAGUAGAGAAUUAACUUUACAAUACAUUCCUACACGUGAACUGAUAAUUGACCCUUUUAAGAAGGUCAUCUCUAGACACUUGUUUGAAAAACAUGUGAAGACUCUAGGUUUGUGUAGCAUUUGAUGAUAUUCCAGUAUUGUAAAAUAACUUAAUAGUUAUAAUAUUCUCUUCUAUAUAAUACUAUUGGAUUUAUAUUCAAAUAUAAUAUGCAUGUGAUAUUUUAUAAGAAAUAAAGUGUGUCGAACAAGUCAUGAGAUUAGCUCUCUCACACGAGCAAUCGCCUCUUACGUUGAGGAACCUGAAGAGAUAAGUUUCACCACCAUAUUAUGACUUGUUUUGUGAGCCAAACAAGAUUUUCUCUAAGAAAAUGAGUUUAAGGAUCAGUGAAGAGAGAAACUAGGGUUAAACACUUGGAGGUGUUUAGACCAAGGUCUAUACGAUGUUUUAUAAUUGAAAGAAUGAGUUGCAUACACCAGUAUAAAGUGCAAACAUCAUAGAAUGUGUUUCAUACCACGUGAGUCAAGCGAUCAAUGUGUCAAUGAAAUAAUGUUCCUUGCUUCUUCAUUGUGUGAGACCCUAAAAAGUUAAAAUGAAUUUUCAAUGAAAUACCAUUUGAUCUUUUGUUGUUUCUUGAAGUUUCAAUCGAUGUUGCUACUUUAGCAUGUUACUAAUAUUCAUGAAUGAUUUUUCAAUGCAGUGCAUGUCUAGGAAAGCAAUUGAAUAGGAAUAGAUAGAUUCGAGUAGAAAGUAAAGACAAUUAAUUGAAUAAUAAACUUAUAUACACAAGUCGGCUAUUGCACUAACCAUAUUGGUAUUGAGUGUAAUUGUGUGAAUAAAACUAAACAUGAACUAGAUUUAACCUCUUUAAGAGGAUGAGGGAUGGAAUAAAUAACUAGUGAAGCAGUGAAUGAAGUCUGGGGUAUUGUGAGUACUAAUAUUCUCAUAUAAGUAGUGAAUUCCUUCCACAUGUGAUUGCAUUCCUAUGUGGGGCUUAUAAAACCUUAAAGGUAAGUUCGAUGCUCACAAGUCGCAUAAACUAUUUGUCGUAUGAAUUGUGUGUCUAGUUGAUGUGGUUUUGGCUUGAGUUUUGUCCACCGUGUGCGAAGUGGGAGAUAUAAGUUUUGGGUCGUGGGCCGCCCAAGUGGACCGAUCUGACCCGACGUGACCCGAAGUUGUUGUUUGUAAAAUGGAUAACUGCUAAUUUAAAAUAGAUGAAGGAACAGUUACAUAGUAAUUUCUCCAACGUAAACAAUUCUUUUUUAAAAUAUAUGUUUUGCGCUCUUCAUAAAAGAGAUUAAAAACAAAAACAAAAUAGAAAGCUCAAUAAAAAUUAUCACGACCCGAGCCUACACCCUGGACGUGGCUGACACUUGAGAACCAUUACUGGUCCCCAAGAAAACCCUCAUCCUGGCUGACUAUAAGCGGAAGAAUAACUCGAGCAUAAGCAUCAAACUGAAAGAAACGUUUAAAAACAUUUUAUUGAAUCUCAAAAGUUCGUUGAAUAUACUGAGUAUGAAACAUAAGUUUUAAAUAAAAUAUCUGAAAUUGAAAGACUGUCCAAAACUGUCUAUCUAUGAAGCUUCUACUAUAUAUAGACGAGUGUCAGGACAAGACCUGCGACUACUCAAAAUGCUACUAAUAUUAACAACUCAUAAAACUGGAGUCCUCCGAAAGUAAGGAGACCUCACUCAAAGUUGACGAGCGGAUGAAGUGAUCUCAACAUACUCUUGUUGAGGAUCCUAAGAACAUGUAUCUGCAUCAUUAAAAUAUGUAGGUAGAAUCAUCAGUACAUUGAAUGUACGAGUAUAUAAUAUAGUUGAAUUAAUAACAAAUAACUGAAAGAAAGGACUGCAAUAGACAACAAUGUACUCAAGCUGAAUGUAAAGAAAUAAAGGAGUUAAAUCAUUUAAAUCUUUACAAAAUACUUUCUCAUCUUUGAACUCAACAUAAUAAGUGAUAUAUAAAAAUACACUUUAACUCUAUUGGGAGAUUUUCUAACCGACAAUCAUCACUAUGAGAUACGUGAUGAUGCAGCGUCUCGCCCACACUGCCAGAACUGUCUUAUACCUUGCCAGGGUGUAGAACAUCUCAACUAAGUGGAUCCACUACGCUCUGCCCGAAGGUACUAAGGAUUCAUCUAAAAAGUAUGAUCCUUAAUACGUGAUGAUGCAGCGUCUCGCCCACACUGCCAGAACUGUCUUAUACCUUGCCAGGGUGUAGAACAUCUCAACUAAGUGGAUCCACUACGCUCUGCCCGAAGGUACUAAGGAUUCAUCUAAAAAGUAUGAUCCUUUACCCAUGUUAACAUACAUGAUUUAUGAGAAUUUAAGUUGUCUGAACUCAUCCUCAUAUCAGUGCUCAAAAUUAAUCCCACUAAUACAUACUCAUGCUCAAUGUUUAAAAACAUACUCUUCCUCUGGUUUGAGAUAAUUGCUCAAACUAUCCUCUUAAAAGAGGUAACUGCUCAGAAAUAUCUCUGAACUCAUUAACUUAUUUAGAAAUCAAAGUUUUUCUUUUCUCAAUGUAAAAAUUGAUACCUUUGGGAAUACUUAGUUCCCUUAUACUCUUACUCAAUUCAUAUUUGAAAACUCUUUCUCAAAAUAUAUCAAAAUCAUAUUGUGAUAUGAUCAUUGAUGACUCGAAAAGUCAUACUGCAUAAACAUUGAUGGCAUAUCUAGAUACUAUACUGCUAUUUUCAUUAAUGGCAUACUCGACUGUCUUACUAAUCAUGUUUUAAAUAAACUCUUUCUCAAAACUCAUCUUUACUUCCUCAAAAACUCAGUUUAAAACUCAAGUGUUGGCUUUAAAAAGCUUCUCAAGAUUUAUAGCUCAAAAUAGGGUUCAUGUUGAAUUAUAGACAUGAACAAAUCAAAUCAAAUAUCUCAAAAAUAUAUAGCAAUUCAAUAAUUAGGAAUAUAAUUUCAAAAAGAAUCAGGAACUUAAGAACUCAAAAUCAACUCAUCUCAUGAAUACUAAAAUCUAGGGGUAGAAUUCUAGAUUUCUCUUUUACUGAUUUGAAAGUAAAUGUAGGGCAUGAGGACGAACUAGUACAGCACUAUGAUAGCCUUACAUACCUGGAAGAACAAGGUUCUUGAAGAAUCUUGAAGAAAAACUUGAUUAGAAGCCUUGAAACCCUAGCUUGAAGGAGAACAAUCAAGAAAACCUUUCUUGAGAUUCUUGAAUUAGUUUCUUGAAAUCUCUAUAGCCAAGAAUUAUGAUUUUCAUUAGUGAUUCAUAAUUGUAUGGAGGAAUUUUAGUUGGAAAGAAUGGAAUUCUUGGAGAAAGACUUACCUUGAAGAAAAAUCUUGAAAAAGAUGGAAAGAAUCUUGAAUGGAGUGUUCUACUUGAUUUUCCUUAGGGUUUUGCCUUAGGGUUAGAGAGAGAAGAGAAUGAUGAAUUAAGAGAUGAAAAUCUGAUUGUUUUGAGUCUUUAAUUAGUAAAGAAAUUCGUUUAGGGUUUUCUUAGAGGUAAAAAGACAAAAACGAUGCUUUUUAAUGUUUUCCUAUCGGCUAAUUCGUCACUGCACUGUAUCAGCUUACUAAAAUGGUCAUAAAUUUUUCCUCAAAACUCGGAUUAUUGAAAACUUGGUGGCGUUGGAAAGAAGAUUCAAAUACCUUUAAUUUGAUAGCUUAUAGUCCACGUAACUCUUUAUAUUCUAAGAUAUAUGGUCAUUUGAAGUUGACCCAAGAAAAAUCUCAUUCUGAAACUCAAUUGGAAGGAAAGUUUUCAACUCAACUUUAUGCUAGAGAAUUUUAGUGACCUUAACAUCUAAGAAAAUUUAGAAUCACUCGGUGAAAUCUUAUUCACAAAUAAAGAAUGGCUCGAAUCUUAUCUUAAAAUAUUUUGGGAUGUUACAAAAAUGUGACAUCUGCUUCUAAGAAAAAGGCAUCCAUCAAAAUGGGUAUUUAGUUUGUGAAGCACUAUCUUUGCUUCCUAGUGAUACAAAGAAGGAUCUAGAGCAAGUCAUUCCGUUCGUAAAAUUCAUUCAUUGCAACAAUCAAAUGUACACAAAUCUUGUACCAAAAUAUUGUUUAAAUCUAUCAAUAUGACUACUCCAUGUUAUAUUACCUAUAAAAGGGCAUUGAAAUGAUAAUGAAAAGAUACACCCAAAAAUAGUUACUACUCUUAUUUCUACUGUCUAUUUUUCUUUGAUCUCUUCAUAUGAUUUUGGUAUUCUGUCUUUAUUUUAUAACACGUUAUCAACACGCAUCUCUUCAUCUACGAGCAUAUCCGACAGUGUAUUAGCCCAAACAUAAAUAGUAUAGAGUAUAUUCUAUUUUGUUGUAUAAGUCUACUAAUACUUGAUAGUCUAAAUUUGAUGUGUCUAAUGUAAUUAUCGUUAAUAUAUCAUGGAUUUUUUAGCUAAAUAUUGAAAGUAUAAUUAGUGCAUACUUAAUUGAUAACCUUGUUGGAAGAAUUGAACUCACCGAAAUCAUUAGAAGACUAAACGUGCAUAACAUAAAUUUUUAAUUUGGUUGAUACCUUGUUGUGGUUAUCACCUAGUAAUACAUAGUUACUUUUAAAUGAGAUAUAUGUAGUUAAUUUAAGGAAUGCAUAUCAAAAUAAAAAAUAAAAAAAGGUAUUCAAAUUUCUUAUGCCGACUUACAUUAACUUUGAUCGGCAUCAUUGAUUAUUUUUACACUUGUUUAUCUUUCACUAGCUAAUCAUUUACUUCUUGAAUUAUUAUAAUAUGUUAUAUGUACUAACAUAACUUGUUUUAUAGUUGCUUUAAAAAGGUAAGCAAAUUGAUAUUUGAGGAGUAUUUUAUUUUCUUUUGGAAUCAUCAAAAGCAUUUUUCUGUCACGAAGGAUUCUUGAAGAGGCAAUGAUAUGUCAUUUAGGUUGGCAAUUAACAAAUUUGUCAAUGGUAAGUCAAUGGUAUAUUUUUGCUUUAUGGUAAGCUUCCUUCAUAAUAAUAAUUACAUUAAUUUUGAUUUGUAUGUAUCUACAAAAAGAGUAUGUUAAUUUCUGGAAUCUAUAAAAUAUAUGCUAACAUAAAACCUACAUGUUGUUGAGACUAUUUGACAUAUAGACUUUAUUAUGUCCAUUUAUCAAGUUUUUAUUUAAUUUUUGAAUUCUGAGGUAUCAUUUUAUUUAUUGUGAUGAUUAGUGUUUACCUCUAGUUGCUUUAUCUUCGAAUUACAAUUGAAGAAAGAAAUUUUCUUAACUAGCAAUAAAUGAAGUUAAUGUUGAAAAUUAUAGACAUAAUACAUAAACAUGACCCUUAACUUGGCUUCAGCGGACAACUAUGCCCUCCAACUUUGAGUAUGCACAAGUAGACACUUAAACUUGUAUAAAAUUGAAUAAGUAGGCACAUGUGUCCUACAUGACAUAAUACAUGUAGGACGCCACGUAGGACACAAAAUUUCCAUGUAGGGUGUCAUGUAGGACGGAUGUGUCUAUUUGUUCAAUUUUAUACAAGUUUAAGCGCCUACUUGUGCACAUCCAAAGUUAAAGGUCAUAGUUGUCAGCUGACGUCAAGUUAAGGUCAUGUUUAUGUAUUAUGCCAAAAUUAAUUUGUUGAUCUUUCAAUAAGUGAAUUAUUCAUAAAACUUUUAAGUUGAAAACUAGUAUUCGGAGCCACCUAUGAGGAUCAACUUUGUUUUGUUUAGCAAUGAUAAUAAUUACAUAUGAUCUUUUGAAGUGUUAUUAUGACUAAACUUAUUUGUGCUAUUACUAACAAAGUGACGAUAUUUUAAAGGCUCAAGGGUGAAUUUUAUUUUGGAUUGUAUAUAAUGUCAUUGAUUGAGGUUAAGAUGGUGGAUUCAAGUUUCAUCUCACCAAAAGGGCAAGACGUCGUUUAAAGUCUCGAUGCACCAUGAUGAUAAGAUUUUGGGUUCAAGUCCCACUAAAUAUGGCCAACAAGCCUUCUGAUAGAAAAAGCAUUUGGUUCAAAUUCCAAUGAAAUAUAUUAUUGAUAUAAUGAUGAAUGAGCAAACUAAUGCGCUCUUGAUGAAAAAUUAUUGGGCACGCGAUAAAUUUGAAUGAGCAAACACAUAAUUUUUCUCCAUUCUCUAAAAUGAAUGUGGUAGCAGUACAUGAUAAAUUUGAAAGAUGGCAAAAUCACUAUUGUGAUUGUAUAAAUAAAUAUGAGUGUGUCAAAGGACAAAACAUAGUCAUCAUUGUGUUACUUAUAAAAGAAAGAACAUUUUGAGUUCUCAAAAUGGUCCUUCAAAGAGUGGAGAAAAUUUUUGUCAUCAAAUUUGGUAUGAAAAGUAUUGGGCACGUGAAUACCGUGCAAACUAAUUUGAUUUUAUAAAUCCUCCAUCAAAAUAAAGAAAUAUAACGUGAAGGUGCACUUGACCUUUCAAAGGUGAUGUCGAGAUAUGUCAUAUAAAUAUUAUAAAUUUCAAAGCAUGGCAAUGAACUUCUAAUGAAAAGAAUCACUAUGAAGCAUGUAUAUAUGAUUAUAGUCAAUUCCUUGAAGAGAAUAUGUCUUGUGAUAAGUAUCAUGAAAACUGGACCAUUCUUGAAAGUGAAUGUGCAAGAGAUGAUGAAAACUAUAAAUAAGGACAUACUCAUGUAUGAUUUAAUAAAUACCACAACUCGCCCCUAUGGUAGAUUAGAGAGAAAUAAAGAAAUUUCAUUUUGGUAUAAAUGGUCACUGGUCAAGUAUUUUUAGUACAUCACAAAUAUUGUGAUACGUUUUAUUAUGAACUACCGAAAGAGCAAAAGAAGAAAAUAAUUCUUGGCCACAAAAAUUUGUCAUUAGUUAUAUAUCUAUGUACGUCAAAAUUAUUUUGUCAGAUAUUAAAUAAAAAGGGAGGAGAUACUAAUGACAAAAGUAAAUCAAGAAACAAGUUUUGCUUGUAAUGAUUUUGACCAUGACAAUAACGAUAUAAAUUUCUCCUUGAAAGAGAUGUUAACCACAAAAAUAAUGUUAUGAAAUAUGUGGUAGUAUCCAGUGUUAAUUGUGAGUUUUGGUGAACUAAUGUGCUACUACCCAAAGAAAUAAAAUUGAUCAUGAUAUUGAAAUUGUAGUAAGUCUCGAAAAAAACUUUUUAAGUUUCAAAGAAAUAGCAAAAAAAAAAAUUAUAAUGUAAAUAUAAAAUAUGGAAAGAUUUAAGAUCUUCAUAUAAUCAAAGUGAGUUAUAAAUAUUUACUUGAAAUAUUACCCAUGUUUUCAUGUUGUUUGUGGUAACUAAAUAUGGCAUGAUGAUGGAAUCACAUGCAAAAUAAAUUAGAAGUUUAUUAAAUAAAUAUCGGUUCAACUAUGAUAUGAAAAUAAAUGAGAAUUCAUGUGGUUUUAUAUAUAUAUAUUGAAGAAAUAUAAAUUCUUCAAGAAUUCUCUUGUGUUGUUUGUUCUCAUGAUAAAAUUAUCAUUGCACUAGCAAAAGUUGAGAUUGUAUCUCCUAAAAUUUUGAAAUGUAUAAAAAGGUGAAUAUGGAUCCGUUCACCCGUCAUGUGGACCAUUUACUAUUAUAGAUGCAUCUAUAUUAUGGUCACAUGUGCUUUAUUAUCAACUUGCAAUUUGAUUUUUGCAAAAGAUUGCUUGCUCGAAUUGUUAAAUCAAGAGCACAUUUCAAAUUAUAAAAUUAUAUUGAUGAUGUUGGUUUAUAUCCAAGUUGUUUAAGCAUAAAUUAUAUGCCUCCAAUUAUAACUAAACCAUUGGUUAUGAGAACAAAACUCCCAAAAGAAAUUUGGUAUGAGAUGUGUUAUUGUAAGUGUAGCAACACUUAUACGUAUCAAGUCAACAAGAUUCCCCUAUCACAGUUGGUUCAGGGUCAGGAAUCAAAUAAUUCUCAUCUAGAAAUUUAAAUGUGUGGUAUAUUAUUUCAUUACUCCCCUAUUACGCAAUGCACAAAGAUGACUCCCCAAAUAAGGUUGGGUGAAUGUUAGAUUCUCUAAUAUUAGGGGGAGCUAAGCAAUUGGAAAAUAAGUUAUAUAUAAUGAAUUAUCAUUGGUAUGAUCCUCAUUGAAGAGAUAAUUUAAGUCAAUUGUCAAACACAUUCGUUGACCCUAUGUUAUAAUUCAGUUAUAAAUGCUCUAAUGAAAAGUCUUUAAAGAACAUAAAUUUAUGACACACCUGAAGCGUGAUAGAUUAAUCGAUUCGAAAGAUAAAACUUCUUGAAGAAGAAAAAGAGCAAAUGAUCAAGAUGUUCAUAAUAAUGAGGUGGGUGCUUUAGAAAGAGCACUAUGACAUAACACUUCAUAAAACUUUGCCAAAGAUUCAGGUACCUGAAAAUGAUAAAAUAAAGAGAGCUCGACAAAUUAUGUCGUAUCAGAAACGAUAUCAAAUAAAACGUUGACGAUAUUUUUAAUGUAAUAUAGCGCUCAAAAUUAUAAAUGGUGAUGAGGAUCUUGACAUUAAAUCUGUCGAGAGUUGACAGAUAAAUGAUUGGCCAAAGAAAAUACAAUUCAAGUAUAUUUUAUUUCACUUGAAAAAGUGAUGUUUUUGACUUAUUUUAUCCAUAUAUCAAAAUAUAAUGUCAGUGGGCUACAAAUGAAUUAUUGUGCGAUAAGUAAAAUCGUAAAAUAUAAAGUACGGCUUGUGCAUUAAAAUAUAAAGAUUUUUCACAAAAGUCUUGACACUAUUGUGUGGAGAUGUAUUUUUUUUAAAAAAAAACUAGUAAGUUUAAUGGAGAUGUAUUCUCCUAAGGUGGAUGCAAUGAGGUUUCUAUCAGUUUGACAAUAUAUGAAAAACUUGAAUACGCAUGAUGAAUGAUUAUCAUGUCUAGUUAGACAGUAAAUAUUAUAUGAAAAAUCAUGAAGGAUUUAAAAGGUUUUAACGCGAUUCCAUUAAUAGUACCCCAAUAGUUGUGAGAUCGCUUAACAUAAAGAUCAAUUUCAAUCUCAUUAAAAUGAUUACAAAAUACCAUGUCAUAGUGCGAUUGGUGCACUUAUGUAUCCUGCUAUUAUUAUUCAUAGUAUAAUAAAAUUUUAUUAAUAUGCAUGCAAAAUAUAACAUCACUUUUAUUAAAUGGAGAUAUUAGAGUGAAUCAAAUAUUGAUACAAAUUAUUUAUUUUGAUAAAUCAUGUCAAGGUUUAUUGAUUAUGAAAUUACAAAAAAUUAUUUGGUUUAUAUGAAGUUUGAUCUCAAGAAAGUUAUUCAUUUUUAUUUGGAAAUACUGUCAUAUCAAAUCAUUCCACAAGAGAGAUAAUUUUAUUGAAAGUGUCUGUUAGGGGUGUAACAAAAUCGAACCGAAAACCGAAUCAAAUCGCAAAUCGAGUCAAACCGGGAAAAAAAACCCGACUAGUGGUUUGGUUUGACUUGAUUUGGUAUUGGAAAAAAAAAACUCAACUAUAUUUGGGUUGAUUUGAUUUUAACUAAAAAAAACAACCCGAGACCAAACCAACCCGACAUUAUAUAUCUAAUUUUAAAAUUUUAUUUUAUACAUAAAAAUAUUUACUUUGAUAUAAUUUUAAAAUAUUUCUUAUACUAUUUCAUAGUUUUUAUCUUUUAAUAUAUUAUUUCAAGUUUAAAACUUAGAAUUCAGAAUGGUCCAAUAAAGAUUAUAGUUCAUAGAUGUUGAUAAUUAUAAUAAAACUUAAAUCAAAAUCAAAUNNNNNNNNNNNNNNNNNNNNNNNNNNNNNNNNNNNNNNNNNNNNNNNNNNNNNNNNNNNNNNNNNNNNNNNNNNNNNNNNNNNNNNNNNNNNNNNNNNNNNNNNNNNNNNNNNNNNNNNNNNNNNNNNNNNNNNNNNNNNNNNNNNNNNNNNNNNNNNNNNNNNNNNNNNNNNNNNNNNNNNNNNNNNNNNNNNNNNNNNNNNNNNNNNNNNNNNNNNNNNNNNNNNNNNNNNNNNNNNNNNNNNNNNNNNNNNNNNNNNNNNNNNNNNNNNNNNNNNNNNNNNNNNNNNNNNNNNNNNNNNNNNNNNNNNGGUUUUACAUUGGUUUAGACAAUUCAAAUACAUAAUCUAAUUUUAAUUUCCUUUAAUAUUUAGUCAUGUAACUAAUACUUAUUAAACUUAUUUUAGCAUGAUUUAGUACUUUUAAAUUAUGAUCAUUUUCAUUAUGACUUUGCAAUAUUUAUUUUAUAUGAUGAUUUCAUUAUUAUUUUUUAUUGAAUAUUUUAGUGUCAUCAGUACUCAUCUCAUAUUUUGUGUUAUUUUCUUAAGAAACACCUUAGAUAAUUGUAUUUUGGUUGGACUAAAGAAAUAUUUGGAGCACAAGUUAAUUGUAUGUUUGUAUGCAAACUUUACCGAAAAAAUCCAAAAAUCUGAGGUUUAUUAGUUUGGUUUGAUUUAUAAAUUUAAAAAUUCGACACAAUAGUUUGGUUUGGUAAUUGAAAAACUCGAACCAGCCCGAGGUUGGAAAAUCCGAAAAAAUCCAAAUUUUAUUAGUUUGGUUUGGUUUAUAAAUUUAAAAAUUUUACACAAAUGGUUUGGUUUGAUAUUUGAAAAACCCGAACCAACCCGAUCAUGUACACCCUUAGUGUUCGUCAAUACUUGGUUGUUGCUACUAACAAGUCAAACAAGCAAUUUGUCUACGGCGACAAGAUCACGAACCGAAUGAUUGCCAAGAAUGUAUUUGAUGAAUAUCAAUAACUCAACACAUCCAUAAAAUAUAUGACAUUUCUUUGAAAAGAGAUAUUCCAACAACAUUAUAUGAGGCAUUGAUGCAUGUAUAGCUCAACAAAGAGGAGAACACAUCAAAGAAGACUGAACAAAAUAUAUUUUCAUCAAAGUUUUCCUUCUUAUUCAUUAUCUUCAAAAGAAGGAUGUAGCUUGUGUUUAACACUUCGUAUUCACCCAGGCAUUAUCAACUUCAACCUUUGAGAAGCCGAGAUAUAAGAUUGAAAUGUGUCAUCUUCGAAUUGCUAAGUGAUGUUUUAAUCAGGAGGAGUAUAAUACGCGUUGCGCUCUUUUUUCUUUAGCCGAGGUUUUUUCUCACCAGAUUUUUCUAGUAAGGUUUUUAAUGAGGCAGCUACCAAUGUGUAUUACAAAUUACAAGAUAUGUGUACGUUUUUUCCUUCACUAGUAUUUUUCCUAGUAAGGUUUUAACUAGGCACAUUGUAAAUCAAGACAUGAACAUUCAAAGAAAGAAUUACGAACGAAUAUAUAUACUUGAACUUUUACUAAAUUUGUGCGCUUACAUAGACAUCCAAGGGAGAGUGUUGUAAAUAAUUUAUUUGUGGAUGUCAAGUGAUAACACCACCUUGCUAUUAUAGCAAUAUGUAUUUGUGGUGAUAACAUCACCAUGCUACUAUAGCAAUAUGACUACUCCUAGUCAUAUUGCCUAUAAAAGGGUAUUGAAAUGAUAAUGAAAAGAUACACCCAAAAAUAGUUAGUACUCAUAUUUCUACUUUCUAUUUUCCUUUGCUCUCUUCAUAUGAUUUUAGUAUUUUGACUUUAUUUUAUAACAGAUUCUUGUUUAUUUUUUCUAUCAAAUUUUUGCUAUUCUUCAAAGCAAAAGCUACUCCAAAAUUAUCUUCAUCAAAGAUUCCUCUGGGAUCAGACUUUAUUUACUCAUAUUCUUAUUUAUAUUUAUUUACUUUGAUUCAUUCGAUCAUUAUUUCAGUCAAUUCAAUCCAUAUGUUCUCUAAAUUACUCUUUUUCCUUCAUUAGGAUUUUUUUUGUUGGGUUUUUCCUAGUAAGGUUUUAACGAGGCACAUUAUAAAUCAAACAUCCAAAGAAAGAAUUAAACGAAUAUGUAUACUUGAACUUUACUAAAUUUGUGCACUUACAUGGACAUCCAAGGGAGAGUGUUGUAAAUAAUUUAUUUGUGGAUGUCAAGUGAUAACAUCACCUUGCUACUAUAGCAAUAUGUAUUUGUGGAUGUUAUGCGAUAACAUCACCAUGCUACUAUAGCAAUAUGACUACUCCUAGUCAUAUUGCCUAUAAAAGGGUAUUAAAAUGAUAAUGAAAAGAUGCACCAAAAAAUAGUUUCUACUAUUAUUUCUACUUUCUAUUUUCCUUUGCUCUCUUCAUAUGAUUUUAGUAUUUUUAACUUUAUUUUAUAACAGUAUUCUUGUUUAUUUUUUCUAUCAAAUUUUUGCUAUUCUUCAAAGCAAAAGCUACUCCAAAAUUAUCUUCAUCAAAGAUUCCUCCGGGAUCAGACUUUAUUUACUCAUAUUCUUAUUUAUAUUUAUUUACUUUGAUUCAUUCAAUCACAUGUUCUUUAAAUUACGUUACAAAUUCAACUAUACCUAUUUAGGGUAAACAGUUUGACGUCAUCGUGAGGCUAAGGACAAAUUACGAUAUUAUAAUGAUUCUGAUUGUUCAUUGCUAAAUAUUUUGCAUUUGUGAAGCUGAAGAAUCAACUGAUUAAAUGGCUCAGCAGAUAUUAUGGGGAGACCAAUGUCAACAACAACUCGCUCUUGCAUGAUCCCAACGAUCACGAAGUUGAUCUGGUGAAUAGAGAAACCUCAACAUUUUGGGAAAUUCACAUUUCGUCUCAACAUUCCAGAAGGGACCUCAGUCAAAACAAUGAUCAGAACACGGCUAGGCAAGUCCUAAAGAAGAGCAAGUGCAAGUUGGACCUGCUGUUCAAACAAACAGUACCUUCCGUCUAUGCUCCUUGUUCCGGUGGUAACAUAACAAUUGUAUAGUAUAUUAUUUCACAAUACAAAAUUGAUAAAAUUAUUUGAUUUUUCAAAAAUAAAAUCAAUUGGAGCAAGAACAACCUCCAGAGUACUAGAGGUUUGUUUGAAGGAUCCUCAAAAGACUACAAAAUAAUAGGGACAAUGCUGAGGAAUCAAUGGUCACAGCGAAAACUGAGCAAAGUUAACUUGAGGUUAGCCUGGCAAUUGCCACUAUCCUAUCAGCUUCUUUCAACCCCCUAUAUACACCGGCGAAUAUUCAGAUUGUACAAAGGCCAAGAAGCUCACCAGAGAUAAAAUGAAAACAUCUCUUACUUUCUUAGACGUUUUGUUUGUUGGCUAAAAGGAGUAAAGGGAAAACUGGUUCAUGACCUUUGGAUGCAAUUCUCUUUCCUUAGCAAAAUUACUAAAGGAAUCACGUCUACUGUAAACUUGCUGUUGUCACAUGCCCAGACUUAAUUACUACAAGUUAUAAUAGUAGCAUCUCUUAAAGCAGGCAGAAUAUUUCUAGCUUGAAUUGAAUCUCUAUUUCUGUUUUCUUUCCUUCCCAACUUAAGUUGUAAAAUUUCCGCUAAAGUUGGUUCUUACCAAACAAAGACAACUAUAACCAACCAAAUUCCAUGUGGAAAACUAUGAUCUUCUAUGUCAAUCCUAAUGGAUCAACCUGCCGCAGUACAUACACCACUGUUGCUAUCAUUUUUGUGUUUGCGCACAAACUCAGCACACUGUUCCAUUACUCCUUGCUUGAUCAUAUACCCUGAUGACUUUACGAAGUCGACCUAAGAUAAAAUGCUGAGCAGAGACAACAGUAGAGAAGGAAAUGGAAACAUGAGACAAAUAAGUUUAGCAACCAUCAAAGCAUAACAGAAAUCCUGUCACAAAUCCUCAUCAACCAGUAUUAACCUGUAAACCAAUUUAAAUCACCCCCAAAUAUAAACUUCAAAGAGAAAAAAUAUUUUUUAUCCAAACUCUAACUAAAUGGCACAAUCAACUAUAGUUCAGCUAACUGAUUGCUCAUGAUUCCCAUAGCCAUUGGAGGAUGCCCCAUGAGCUGCUCCAGCACCAUACAUGGAAUCUUGACUUUGCGAUGCGCCAUACCCAUAACCACCAUAAUUCUGCCUUCCAUAAUAACCCCCAUUCCAUUGACUACCAGAGUCGGUUCUAAA